CGCUCUUUUUCCGGUCUAAACUCUACGGUGGCCGAGCGAGCUCAAAUCUCGUAGAAGCGUUCCUGAAGCUCACGGUGAUUCAUUUGCGGUCCUGUCGCCGCCUUCCCUGGGCUGGGCGCGGGGCGUCGACCCCCUUCACUUACAAGUAAAGACAGGGCUCCUUACUAGGCCAAUGGGAAGCAACCUGUAAUGGCAGGAGGUCUCUAUCUACUCAUCUGCCUGACAAGUCUGGAGAGUUAAAAACAAAACAGAGCAAAUACUAAAACAGCCGGCACCGUGGGAACUGAGGCGGGAAGAUUGCUUGAGCCCAGGAGUUCAAGGCCAGCAUCAUUGUGAGAACUCACCUCAAAGAACAAAAACUAAUUUAAAAGCCUGAUGAAUAAAAUAUCAGUGUUCUACGUUUGAA